UUUGGAAAACAUAAAACCGCCCACAUAAACAAAACUUGAAAACCCUUUCACUUCUCACAUCUUAACCCUAACUAUUUAUCUCUCCUCCAUCGUACUAAAUUCUUCAAAGUGAUUCAGAAAAUCAUGGAUUUUAAUUUCAGGUCUUCAAUUCGUUCCCUUGCACUGCUCAUAAAUAAUUUUGCUUGCUUAAUUUUCUCUACUUGUAAGCUUUCAAUGGUGUUUAAUUUCGUCUUCUUUUUGCCCAUAGAAUUGAGGUUCCCGUGAAUAAUGUUGAAACGUAAGGCUAUUUACGAAAUGUACUGAUGAAAAGGAUCAUUCUUGCUGCCUUGCAUUUCUGGAUUAACUCCUGCCGUGAUUCUAGGAUAUUGUUGUGAUUAUUCUAUGUCCCAGACUACGUACGUCAAAGUUAUUAAUCAAGUGGUUCGAUGAAGACAUAGUAGCUCCAAAUUAAAUUCGAUUGUGAGAAGCAGCAAUUUUUUCGAUAAAGGUGGAGAAUUACAAUCAAACAUUUUUAUUUAAUGUCAGUUGUUUAAGAGAAUAAUAUGGAUUAUUAUACAUAAAAUGUAUUUGUACUUUUCUUUUAUCAUUCUAGCUUGAUUACAUUAAUAGUGUCAGAAUAUAAUAAGUUGUACUCUUCUUGGAUUAUGAAUAAAAUUUAAUUAGAGUAAAAGUGU